rnacentral:rRNA from 1 species
GCUUAUCACCAUUUCAGAUUGAAUAUACCCGAUCUCGUCUGAUCUCGGAAGUCAAGCAAUCUCGGGCUUGGUUAGUACUUGAAUGGGUGACCGCUUGGGAAUACCAAGUGUGAUAAGCA